rnacentral:rRNA from 1 species
CCCUUAGAUGUCCUGGGCCGCACGCGCGCUACACUGAUGCAUUCAACGAGUCUAAAACCUGCUCUGAUAGGGGUGGGUAAUCUUUUGAAUGUGCAUCGUGAUUGGGAUAGAUGAUUGCAAUUUUUCAUCUUCAACGAGGAAUGCCUAGUAAACGCAAGUCAUCAGCUUGCAUUGAUUACGUCCCUGCCCUUUGUACACACCGCCCGUCGCUCCUACCGAUUGAAUGAUCCGAUGAAUAUCAUGGAUUGAGGAUGCAAGUAGGUUCGCCUAUCUUCAUCUUCGAGAAGUGAAGUAAAUCUUAUCAUUUAGAGGAAGGAGAAGUCGUAACA